GAUGAACGCUGGCGGCGUGCCUAAUACAUGCAAGUCGAGCGAACAGAUCAGGAUCUUGCUCCUUUGACGUUAGCGUCGGACGGGUAAGUAACACGUGGAUAACCUAUCUAUAAGACUGAGAUAACUUCGAAAACCCGGAGACAAUACCGGAUAACAUAUUGAACUGCAGGGUGGAGUAGUGAGUGGCAGAUUUGCUGUCAGUGAUAGAUGGUUCCGCGCCGGAUUAGCUAGUUGGUAAGGUAACGGCUUCCUACGGCAACGAUGAGUAGCCGACCUGGGAGUGUGGUCGUCCACACUGAAACUGAGACACGGUCCAGACUCCGACGGGUGGCAGCAGUAGGAAAGCGGCCGCAAGGGGCGUAGGCCGGACGGAGCAACGCCGCGUGAGUGAUGAAGGUCUUCGGAUCGUAGAUCUCUGUUAUUAGGGAAGAACAAAUGUGUAAGUAACUGGGCACGUCUUGACGGUACCGGUACAGAAAGCCACGGCUAACUACGUG
rnacentral:rRNA from 1 species